CUCGCAAGAAAACUAAUCCGAGUA
rnacentral:rasiRNA from 1 species